GACGAACGCUGGCGGCGUGCCUAAUACAUGCAAGUAGAACGCUGAAGGAGGAGCUUGCUCUUCUGGAUGAGUUGCGAACGGGUGAGUAACGCGUAGGUAACCUGCCUGGUAGCGGGGGAUAACUAUUGGAAACGAUAGCUAAUACCGCAUAACAGUAGAUGUUGCAUGACAUUUGCUUAAAAGGUGCAAUUGCCCCACUACCAGAUGGACCUGCGUUGUAUUAGCUAGUUGGUGGGGUAACGGCUCACCAAGGCGACGAUACAUAGCCGACCUGAGAGGGUGAUCGGCCACACUGGGACUGAGACACGGCCCAGACUCCUACGGGAGGCAGCAGUAGGGAAUCUUCGGCAAUGGACGGAAGUCUGACCGAGCAACGCCGCGUGAGUGAAGAAGGGUUUCGGAUCGUAAAGCUCUGUUGUAAGAGAAGAACGAGUGUGAGAGUGGAAAGUUCACACUGUGACGGUAUCUUACCAGAAAGGGACGGCUAACUACGUG
rnacentral:rRNA from 1 species